CUUACAAUUUCUCCACGGGUGAAACAGACCAAACUUCCAAUCUCUCCGAUGGGACCAAACUUUUCUCAAGUACCUAAUACAAUCUCUCCGAUGGUCGGUGUUAGAUAGACCAAACGUUUCCAUUGCGCCGGUAUCCGUCCAAAUCCAGUUCUCUUGUUCUUUAAAUACCUCCUCUCGCUCAAGUCAUCAAACUCAGAAGCAAAGUUCCUAUUCCUAUUAUCAGAAACAAUGUUCUCCUCGGAUACAAUCCACAAGCCAAUGAGCUUCAUAAAAAACGACAAGGAAAAACAGAAGGUGGCCGGUGAAAUUGCUUCUUCAUCAUCGGCGGUGGCGGCCAAUAGUGAACAUGGAGAGAAGUAGCAGCAGCAGCAGCUAGAGAGCAAGAGUAUGCUGCCAUCAAUGUUUUGAAACGCUGAGGCGUACCCCAAGGCGUUUUCGGAACAGCCUCACUAAGGAGUAAGCCUUACGGCAUAAAAGAUAUAUGUAUAUAUUUAUAUAUAGAACAUUAUGUUUUAGAGAAACUGAAAUUGAGAGGAAUUUGCUGUGUCUUCUUAUUGAUAAUAGGGGCCUCUUUAUAUA